UUUUUACUCCCUCCGUCCCAAAAUUCUUGUCUUAAAUUUUUCUAAAUACGGAUGUAUCUAGUUACAUUUUAGUGUUAGAUACAUCUGUAUCUAAACAAAUGUAAGACAAGAAUUUUGGGACGGAGGGAAUACUAC
rnacentral:pre_miRNA from 1 species